AUCCAGCUGAUGAGUCCCAAAUAUGAAGAAACAUGCGUCCUGGAU
rfam:Schistosoma rodhaini strain Burundi genome assembly, scaffold: SROB_scaffold0001324